CUCAGCUUAGCUCAGUUGGUUAAAGCAACUCUGUACAAAUGGGAAGGUCCUAGGUUCAACUCCUAGAGCCAUCA